CCUACGGGAGGCAGCAGUGAGGAAUAUUGGUCAAUGGACGAGAGUCUGAACCAGCCAAGUAGCGUGAAGGAUGACUGCCCUAUGGGUUGUAAACUUCUUUUAUAUGGGAAUAAAAUGUUCCACGUGUGGGAUUUUGUAUGUACCAUAUGAAUAAGGAUCGGCUAACUCCGUGCCAGCAGCCGCGGUAAUACGGAGGAUCCGAGCGUUAUCCGGAUUUAUUGGGUUUAAAGGGCGCGUAGGUGGAUUGUUAAGUCAGUUGUGAAAGUUUGCGGCUCAACCGUAAAAUUGCAGUUGAAACUGGCAGUCUUGAGUACAGUAGAGGUGGGCGGAAUUCGUGGUGUAGCGGUGAAAUGCUUAGAGAUCACGAAGAACUCCGAUUGCGAAGGCAGUUCACUGGACUGCAACUGACACUGAGGCUCGAAAGUGUGGGUAUCAAACAGGAUUAGAUACCCGAGUAGUC
rnacentral:rRNA from 1 species